rnacentral:misc_RNA from 1 species
CUUUCUUCUCUUUUUUAAAAACAAAGAGAGCCACAACCUUAACGCUCGGCCACAGCCAGCUCCCGUUUCUCACACACACCGAAAGAAGAAGGAAAAAAAAAAAGCGAAAAAAUCCAGUUUUAUAGAAAGGCAUAAGGAAAUGGCGGAAGGUGAGGAUAUUCAACCUCUGGUAUGCGACAAUGGGACUGGAAUGGUCAAGGCUGGCUUUGCUGGAGAUGAUGCUCCCAGGGCUGUAUUCCCUAGCAUUGUGGGUCGCCCUCGCCAUACUGGUGUGAUGGUUGGUAUGGGCCAAAAAGAUGCCUAUGUUGGUGAUGAGGCUCAAUCAAAGAGAGGUAUUUUAACUUUGAAAUACCCAAUUGAACAUGGUAUUGUUAGCAACUGGGAUGACAUGGAGAAAAUUUGGCAUCACACCUUCUACAAUGAGCUCCGUGUGGCUCCUGAAGAGCAUCCGGUUCUCCUCACUGAAGCUCCUCUCAACCCUAAGGCCAAUCGUGAGAAAAUGACUCAGAUUAUGUUUGAGACCUUUAAUACUCCUGCAAUGUAUGUUGCUAUCCAGGCUGUCCUUUCCCUUUAUGCCAGCGGUCGUACCACCGGUAUUGUUCUGGACUCUGGAGAUGGUGUGAGCCACACAGUUCCCAUCUAUGAAGGCUAUGCCCUCCCACAUGCCAUUCUGCGUCUGGAUCUGGCAGGUCGUGAUCUUACUGAUGCACUUAUGAAAAUCUUGACUGAGCGUGGUUACUCUUUCACCACCACUGCUGAGCGAGAAAUUGUUAGAGACAUGAAGGAGAAACUAGCCUACAUUGCUCUUGACUAUGAACAAGAGCUAGAGACGUCAAAGACCAGCUCAUCUGUUGAGAAGAGCUAUGAGCUGCCAGAUGGGCAGGUUAUCACAAUUGGAGCAGAGCGAUUCCGCUGUCCAGAAGUCCUUUUCCAACCAUCCAUGAUUGGGAUGGAAGCUGCUGGCAUCCAUGAGACCACUUACAACUCUAUCAUGAAAUGUGAUGUCGAUAUUAGGAAGGAUCUGUAUGGUAAUAUUGUUCUCAGUGGUGGCUCAACUAUGUUCCCUGGCAUUGCUGACAGGAUGAGCAAGGAGAUUACUGCAUUAGCUCCCAGCAGCAUGAAGAUUAAGGUGGUGGCACCACCAGAAAGGAAGUACAGUGUCUG